AUGAUGGGCGGCUUCGUCUCCAGGAUCCUCCUGCUGGUUUUUGGCUAUGCGUAUCCUGCAUACGAGUGCUACAAGACUGUUGAACUGAACAAACCUGAGAUCGAGCAACUCAUAUUCUGGUGUCAGUACUGGAUUUUAGUUGCCCUUAUGACGGUUAUGGAGAGGUUUGGAGAUUUAACAAUAUCAUGGCUACCAUUUUACUCAGAGGCAAAGCUGCUGUUCUUUAUAUACUUGUGGUACCCCAGGACAAAGGGGACUACCUACAUUUAUGGAACUUUCUUUAAACCAUACAUUUCACAGCAUGAGAAUGAAAUUGACCGUAAUUUGCUUGAGUUGAGAGCUCGGGCCAGCGAUGUUGUUGUCGUUUAUGUCCAGAAGGUUGCUGCUGUUGGACAGAAUACCUUCUUUGAUGUUUUGAAGUAUGUUGCGUCACAGUCACCAUCCCAGAAAUCAAAGCAACAACGUCCUCAGGAACCACAGCAGUCACAACCACAACCACAGGUACAGCAGCAGCAACCACAAAGGCAAGCGCAGCCUGUUAUGCACAGAGCUGCAUCUAUUGCUGCACGGCAAGCAGCAAUGGCACAGCAAGCUCAAGAGACCAAGCCCAUUUCCCCCAAGUUCAAGCGUCAAGCAUCAGCAAAAGGUGGUCCAGCGGCAUCCACGAAACCCGCCGCGGCUGCUGCGCCCACAACAAAACCCGAUGAGAAGACAAAGAAAAGUGAGGCGAAGCCUGCCGCGGAGCUAGUGCCGGCUCCAGCCGCUGAAGCCGUUGUGCCAAGGCCCGAGCCUAAGGCCCAGCCUGCCCCUGAAGCCGAAGUAUCGGACGACAUGGCGAUCGACGAGGCCAACGUUGCUGUGGAGGGCGCAGAAGAGGUUGACCCUGCACUAGAGGAGGAGACGGUCAUGGAGGAGACCAUCCGCGUGACACGUGCCAAGCUAAGGAGGCGUGCCGCCGCCGAGGGCCCCGCAUGA
rnacentral:rRNA from 1 species